UUAGAGUUCUUUAAAGCUCUAUUUAGAGUUUAUAGUUAGAACAUUUUGUUUAUUGAUAUGUCUCCUAUGCCUUAUUUUUCUCUUAAUUAUAAGUUGUAUUUCCUGUUCCCUCAAAAACAUUUUUUAUCGGGACUAAUAUGUCAUGGAGACUGGAUUCUGUUGUCUUCCUCUGAAGAGUGCUGUGUUCUAAGAGGCAGUUAUGUUCCUGGUGGGUCACCUUGAGCUUGUGGAACUUGGAUUUAUAAUUUUUUAGGGUGAGUAUCUCUUACAGUUUUGUCCUUGGUUCUGGAACAGUCUCCUUGGGGCUGAUUUGCUGUCCUGCUUUCUCUAGGUUUCCAGAGUGAAUGUUCAGCAAACCUCAGACCUGAUGUUUGUUCUCAGGGGACUGGCCCUGUGGCUGGGAAACAGGAAGCCCAGACCCCUACAAGUGUUCAAGGUGAUGGAACCGAAGGCAGCUGUGGCUCUCUUGGCACUUGGGGGUGGAAGCUGGCUGGUGACACUGCCCCUGGAGGCAGUUGGGGCUCUCAUUCUCCACAGAUGUCUGCAGAGGUGGCAGAAGGGAUGCUGGGUCCAUCUGGAGACAUCAUGAAAAGAGCAGUUACCUGGUCUGGAAUUCAUUCCUUUUCCAUGCUGUACCCCUGGUGGAGCCCUCUGUUGGCGAGCUCGGUAGGUCCGCACUGAUAGGGCUGUCCUCCCCAGGUGAGACCUGAGGCUGCAGCAAAGCUCCUCUCCAUUAUACUUGGUGUCCUUGCCCUACAGCUGGAGCUUCCUCAUCCUUGGAGAGCAUGUGGGGUGUGCUCGGGAGGCCACCCACUUUGCCUGCAGCAGAGGUUUCAGUGAGCAUUUUUUCUAGAGUUUACAUUUUUCUCCUAAAUAUUUGAGACUAAGCCUAUAUAGUGCGCACAAUAAAACAAAUUUCCAUUUUAACUUUAUAAGCCCUUCUGUUUACAAAAAUACCAAUCAGAACAUGCUGGGCCUGUGAGAGCCCACAACAGGGAGCUCAUAGUCAGGCAGACUCAAGGACCUAGGGUGAGGCUGCACCCCAGGAGUUCCUGAGUCAUCUGGGGUUUGCCCUGCUUGACCACGAGGGGUUGCUGGGCCUGGGGACAGCAGUUGUGAGGCUGCUCUCCUGUGUGUGUUUGCCACUGUGUCCUGCACGGUUGCUUCUUGCCUUGUUUUGUUCACCUUGGGGCUCCCCAGGUUUCUUCUUCCAAGCCUGGGUGUGCACAGCAUCCAUGGAACCUUCUCCUGGCCACAGCCCAAACCUCACCCCAGCAACCUCUCCUAAGCAGCAGUAAACUUCAGACCUCAAGAUGAUAUGUUUUUUUUUUUAAGAUGAUAUUUUUUGGAGUGGAGAUUUAAAAAAACCAAUUAGAAACCAAGUGAUUUCAGUUUCUAGCUUUACCCACGUUCUCACCACAACACUCACCAGCGGAUUCUAUGGUUCUGGUGGUUGCUGGAGGAAAACCAGAAAUUUUCAAGGAAAGAGAAAUCCUCCCGCUGCUUUGUGGAACCCUGGUCAAGUUUAUGUCUUGCGAAAAACAUUUCUCACUCCUAAGUGUUGCCAUACCACAAGGGGGGGCCCUCUGUGCUGGCUCUCCUAGGCACCCAGCUAGGUGUGGGAGGGGCUGGGUCUCAAUGUGCGGCUCUUCUCCCCUCAACCCCUGAGACAGUGAGGCUCUCCCACUAGGUGACUGCAGCUUGCUAGGCUAAAAUUCUGGAGUCUCUUUUCUUCAUUCUUCCUAUCACACAGCCUGCAAUGAAAAGCCAAGGGAAGAGCCAUGCUUGUUUCUUUUUACUGAGCAGACAAAGAGCAACAGCUUCCUAGAGCCCUUGGCAACAGUUUCUGCCAACUUCCUAUCUGUGGGACUUUGGUCAACAGCAGGCUAAGGUUAGACCAAUAAAGAGCCAGAGUUAGAUCCACAAUGGGUCAGGGUUAGACCAGGAGCUGGCUAGGGAUAGAGCGAUACCUGGCCAAAGUUAGAGGAAUAACUCAAGUACUGGAUCUGGGUCAGACUGGCUUGCAAGAGCCAAUGUUCAAGUUCCAAUCUUGAAAGUCAGUUUGUAAACAGUGGUUAUGUUUAGAUCUCACUUGUUCCCAAAGGCCGUGUGUAGGCAGGUGGCGGGCUGUGCCGUCAAGGGGAUGCUGAGGUGAUGGCUCUUCUCUCACCCCGUCACUGCCUUGAGGUGGGUGGGUUUCACUGCCACAUGCUCCACCAUGAGGCACUGCCUCAUCAGUACCAGCGGUACCACAAGCUCAGAAGACAGAAUCUCUGCAAUCAUGAGCAGAGACAAGGCUUUAUUCCUGUUAGCUGUUUCCCUCAGGUACAGAAUGCUAGCACAAUAGUCACUAUUAAGGAUUCAGUUAUGGUAACUUACCCAUGGAAAGUCAUAGAUUAAUAUCAUUAUAUAAGCAAACACAUUAUAUUGAACACAGAAGUGAGAAACACCAAGAACUUGCCCCUUGUGUUUUGCUGUCAUUGGUGCUCUGGAGGGUUCUGCAUCUUCGAUGCCUGUGUGGUGCAAGUGCCAAGAAAGCAAGGAAGACCCAAGGGCCCUGUGUUUGGUUGUUGGCGGAACGGCCUGUCCCCCUGUGACAGGUGAGAUGCUGUCAUCCAUGGUUUAUGCCCAGAAGGGACCAAGCAGAGCGUGUGGCUGUUGGCUGGUCAUGCCAGGAGACUAGAGGGCUGGGGCUUAGGGCCCAGGGAGUCCAGCAGGGAGGGAGCUGCAUUCAACAUGAGACCAGUGGUCCUCAGCUAAUGAAAGUCCUGGACACCCGGCUCAGGUGGGAACACGGGCUCUGUGUCACUACAGGUUGAUGUCCCCCCGAGUUCUGGGGCACACAUGUGAGUGGUGCCAGCAGCGCCCCCAUCAUCCUCUAAUGUAGCAGCUGGCUGGGUGCAGACAGGAGUUUGGCAAAAUCAAGAAA